AUUGAACGCUGGCGGCAGGCCUAACACAUGCAAGUCGAGCGGCAGCGGGAAAGUAGCUUGCUACUUUUGCCGGCGAGCGGCGGACGGGUGAGUAAUGCCUGGGAAAUUGCCCAGUCGAGGGGGAUAACAGUUGGAAACGACUGCUAAUACCGCAUACGCCCUACGGGGGACAGCAGGGUACCUUCGGGCCUUGCGCGAUUGGAUAUGCCCAGGUGGGAGUAGAUAGUUGGUGAGGUAAUGGCUCACCAAGGCGACGAUCACUAGCUGGUCGGAGGGGAUGAUCAGCCACACUGGAACUGAGACACGGUCCAGACUCCUACGGGAGGCAGCAGUGGGGAAUAUUGCACAAUGGGGGAAACCCUGAUGCAGCCAUGCCGCGUGUGUGAAGAAGGCCUUCGGGUUGUAAAGCACUUUCAGCGAGGAGGAAAGGUUGAUGCCUAAUACGUAUCAACUGUGACGUUACUCGCAGAAGAAGCACCGGCUAACUCCGUGCCAGCAGCCGCAGUAAAAC
rnacentral:rRNA from 1 species